rnacentral:rRNA from 1 species
UACGGAGGUGCGAGCGUUGUCCGGAAUCACUGGCGUAAAGGGCGCGUAGGCGGCGCGGAUAGUCGGCGGUGAAAGCCCGGAGCUCAACUCCGGGUCGGCCGUCGAUACUUCCGGGCUUGAGCACUGUAGAGGCAGAUGGAAUUCCGGGUGUAGCGGUGGAAUGCGUAGAGAUCCGGAAGAACACCGGUGGCGAAGGCGGUCUGCUGGGCAGUUGCUGACGCUGAUGCGCGACAGCGGUGGGGAGCAAACGAGG